AUGAACGUUGCGCUUAUGCUGCGUUGGGUUUGGCGGAUCUUGCGGGGAGAUGGGGGGUUGUGGCUGUAGCUGGUUGAGUCCAAGUACUUGCAGGGCCAACCCCUCAUGGCUUGCUCACACUCGGCUGGGUCCCAGUUCUGAAAAUCUAUUUUGGCCAUCAAGGAAGAUAUUAGGCUGGGUUUGCGUUUCUCGGUUGGCAACGGGUCUGGGACCCAAUUUUGGUUGGACCCAUGGCUUGAGGGCGAGCCUCUCCGCUUGCGGUUCCCGAGGCUCUUUGCGAUUUGUGAUGACCCGACCAUUCUUGUAUCUGCGGCUGCUUUGGAGGAGUGA
rnacentral:rRNA from 1 species